rnacentral:rRNA from 1 species
CUUAAAUUGAAGAGUUUGAUCAUGGCUCAGAUUGAACGCUGGCGGCAGGCCUAACACAUGCAAGUCGAGCGG